rnacentral:rRNA from 1 species
GAACGCUGGCGGCGUGCUUAACACAUGCAAGUCGAACGAGAAUCUACGGAAUGCGAUUUCGGUCAAGUGAAGUAGAGGACAGUGGCGAACGGGUGAGUAACGCGUGAAGAACCUGCCUUUCAGUGGGGGACAACAGUUGGAAACGACUGCUAAUACCGCAUAAUGUUAUUUGAGGGCAUCCUCGGAUAGCCAAAGAUUUAUUGCUGAAAGAUGGCUUCGCGUCUGAUUAGCUAGAUGGCGGGGUAACGGCCCACCAUGGCGACGAUCAGUAGCCGGUCUGAGAGGAUGAACGGCCACAUUGGGACUGAGAUACGGCCCAGACUCCUACGGGAGGCAGCAGUGGGGAAUAUUGGGCAAUGGGCGAAACCCUGACCCAGCAACGCCGCGUGAAGGAAGAAGGCUUUCGGGUUGUAAACUUCUUUUACCAGGGACGAAGACGUGACGGUACCUGGAGAAAAAGCCACGGCUAACUACGUG